CCCUUAGAUGUUCUGGGCUGCACGCGCGCUACACUGACGUACGCAACGAGUGUCCUUUACCGAGAGGUAUGGGUAAUCAUUUGAGUGUACGUCGUGAUGGGGAUAGAAUAUUGUAAUUAUUACUCUUCAACGAGGAAUUCCUAGUAAGCGCAAGUCAGCAGCUUGCGCUGAUUACGUCCCUGCCCUUUGUACACACCGCCCGUCGCUCCUACCGAUGGGUGAUCCGGUGAAUGAUUCGGACUCGGUUGCCUCUAGCCACUAGUGGCGCUCGAGAAAGUUUUGUGAACCUUAUCACUUAGAGGAAGGAGAAGUCGUAACA
rnacentral:rRNA from 1 species